rnacentral:lncRNA from 1 species
GCGAAUUUAAACUUUGAAAAUAAGAUAAUAUUAUUUAUAGGAAAAAUAAUCAUCUCGGUCCUAAAUAGUAAAAUGAACAUAAAAAUUAAUUAAAAAACUCAAGACAAAAAGGGGUUGAUAUAAAAUUUUAAACAUCAAAAUUAAACAAACAUUUGGUUUGGAAGAGCUUAAAUUAAAUAAUUAAAAUUUGAAGACUACAAAAUGGUCAUGUACAAAUUUAUCUAUUCUAUUUUUAUUUAUGAUUUGACCUAUAUUUACCAGAAACUUGGACCCUAUGCUUCAUCAAUUUCUAGUAAAAUUAACAUGGAACAAGUUAUUAAAUGGAAUGGAUAACGAAUCUACUUCAAAUAUCAUGUUAGAAAGACAUUUGAGAGUUUUGAUAGCCUCAGAUAUUUGUAAUAUCUGAUGAAAUAGACAAAGCAAGCUCCAUUUUCAUCACCACUCUCAAAUAGAAGAAUCAGAUAAUGUGGACUUUUAGCAAUAGCCAUAAAAAUGUUAAGGCAGGAAGAAGAUGAAUGGAAAUAUAUACGGUAAAAAAGAUUCAUAAAAAUCCUAUUCGUAUACAUAUAUUAUCAAAUGCAUUGCAACCACAUGAUGGGACACAAGUUGUCCUGUUAUAUGUUCAUUGAUUUUGUUUUUGAAAAGAAAAAGAAUAAAGGGUACCUUGCAACCAAGAGAGCAGAAGGUGAAGGAAUCAAGGAGGCUGCGGUGGCAGACAUGGCAGGUAUUCGUAACACCUUUGCCCAACCUAGGCUGUGGUCUUUCAUUCAAGAACACUAUCCGGGCACUGUUUAUUAUGUAUGUUUGAAUCCCUGUUAUGUCUAUCAGUUUCUGAAUCUCUGAAACCCUUAUCACAUCAUGGUAUGAUGAUCUCCUUAUCUGCAACAUUCUCCACAUUCAUUCACUCUUACCUUUACAAAUUAAUACAAGUUUUAAUGAUUUAUACCUGAAUGGUUCUAUGGUCCUUGUGAUAAGCAAGGCAAAGUGAACAAAGCGCUCCAUUCAUGCAUUCCAAGCAAUACAUGUUGCAUUCACUCUUAUGAGCAUCUGCGUGCAGCUUGCAUUGACCAAAAAAGCUUGUUUGAAGCAGAGGUCUCAGCCAUGGCGGCCACUUCAUAUCCUCAUCCU